AGGGUUUGAUCCUGGCUCAGAACGAACGCUGGCGGCGUGGUUAAGACAUGCAAGUCGAACGCGAACGUUCCCUUCGGGGAAUCAGUAGAGUGGCGAACCGGUGAGGAAUACAUGGGUAACGUACCCCAGGCACAGGGAUAGCUGCGGGAAACCGCAGGUAAUACCUGAUGAGACCACGGUAUCACAUGGUACAGCGGUCAAAGGGCGGGGACCCCGACUUGUCGGGGCCUGCCGGCCCGGGAGCGGCCCAUGUCCUAUCGGCUUGUUGGUGAGGUAACGGCCCACCAAGGCGACGACGGGUAGCGGGACUGAGAGGUUGGCCCGCCACAUUGGGACUGAGACACUGCCCAGACUCCUACGGGAGGCUGCAGUAACGAAUAUUGGACUAAUGCGCGAAAGCGUGAUCCAGCGACGCCGCGUGUGGGAUGAAGUCCUUCGGGAUGUAAACCACUGUCAGGGAUUACCAAGCGAUGAGGGUUAAUAGCCCUCUGAGUUGAGGAUUCCCACAGGAAGCCACGGCUAACUUCGUGCCAGCAGCCGCGGUAAUACGAAGGUGGCGAGCGUUGUUCGGAAUCACUGGGCUUAAAGAGCACGUAGGCGGACCGCCAAGCGUCUUGUGAAAGCCCCCGGCUCAACCGGGGAAUUGCAGGGCGAACUGACGGUCUUGAGGCAGGUAGGGGCGAGUGGAACUCUUGGUGGAGCGGUGGAAUGCGUAGAUAUCAAGAGGAACGCCGGUGGCGAAGGCGACUCGCUGGGCCUGUCCUGACGCUGAGGUGCGAAAGCCAGGGUAGCAAACGGGAUUAGAUACCCCGGUAGUCCUGGCCCUAAACGAUGUCCACUAGGUCGGAGGUUUUCUGACAAAGUUCCGGGCCGAAACAAAAGCGAUAAGUGGACCGCCU
rnacentral:rRNA from 1 species